UACGUAGGGCGCAAGCGUUAUCCGGAAUUAUUGGGCGUAAAGAGCUCGUAGGCGGUUUGUCGCGUCUGCCGUGAAAGUCCGGGGCUCAACUCCGGAUCUGCGGUGGGUACGGGCAGACUAGAGUGAUGUAGGGGAGACUGGAAUUCCUGGUGUAGCGGUGAAAUGCGCAGAUAUCAGGAGGAACACCGACGGCGAAGGCAGGUCUCUGGGCAUUAACUGACGCUGAGGAGCGAAAGCGUGGGUAGCAAACAGG
rnacentral:rRNA from 1 species